rnacentral:rRNA from 1 species
GAUGAACGCUGGCGGCGUGCUUAACACAUGCAAGUCGAACGGAAAGGCCCAAGCUUGCUUGGGUACUCGAGUGGCGAACGGGUGAGUAACACGUGGGUGAUCUGCCCUGCACUUCGGGAUAAGCCUGGGAAACUGGGUCUAAUACCGGAUAGGACCACAUUUUGGAUGGUGUGGUGGAAAGUUUUUCGGUGUGGGAUGAGCUCGCGGCCUAUCAGCUUGUUGGUGGGGUAAUGGCCUACCAAGGCGUCGACGGGUAGCCGGCCUGAGAGGGUGUACGGCCACAUUGGGACUGAGAUACGGCCCAGACUCCUAGGGGAGGCAGCAGUGGGGAAUAUUGCACAAUGGGCGCAAGCCUGAUGCAGCGACGCCGCGUGGGGGAUGACGGCCUUCGGGUUGUAAACUCCUUUCGCUAGGGACGAAGCGUUUUUGUGACGGUACCUGGAGAAGAAGCACCGGCUAACUACGUG